AGUAACACGUAUCCAACCUUCCGUACACUCAGGGAUAGCCUUUCGAAAGAAAGAUUAAUACCUGAUGGUAUCUUAAGCACACAUGUAAUUAAGAUUAAAGAUUUAUCGGUGUACGAUGGGGAUGCGUUCCAUUAGGUAGUAGGCGGGGUAACGGCCCACCUAGCCUACGAUGGAUAGGGGUUCUGAGAGGAAGGUCCCCCACAUUGGAACUGAGACACGGUCCAAACUCCUACGGGAGGCAGCAGUGAGGAAUAUUGGUCAAUGGACGAGAGUCUGAACCAGCCAAGUAGCGUGAAGGAUGAAGGUCCUACGGAUUGUAAACUUCUUUUUAUAAGGGAAUAAAACCUCCCACGUGUGGGAGCUUGUAUGUACCUUAUGAAUAAGCAUCGGCUAACUCCGUG
rnacentral:rRNA from 1 species